rnacentral:rRNA from 1 species
GUACACUCCUGCGGGAGGCAGCAGUGGGGAAUUUUGGACAAUGGGCGAAAGCCUGAUCCAGCAAUGCCGCGUGUGUGAAGAAGGCCUUCGGGUUGUAAAGCACUUUUGUCCGGAAAGAAAUCCUUGGCUCUAAUACAGUCGGGGGAUGACGGUACCGGAAGAAUAAGCACCGGCUAACUACGUGCCAGCAGCCGCGGUAAUACGUAGGGUGCGAGCGUUAAUCGGAAUUACUGGGCGUAAAGCGUGCGCAGGCGGUUUGCUAAGACCGAUGUGAAAUCCCCGGGCUCAACCUGGGAACUGCAUUGGUGACUGGCAGGCUAGAGUAUGGCAGAGGGGGGUAGAAUUCCACGUGUAGCAGUGAAAUGCGUAGAGAUGUGGAGGAAUACCGAUGGCGAAGGCAGCCCCCUGGGCCAAUACUGACGCUCAUGCACGAAAGCGUGGGGAGCAAACAGGAUUAGAAACCCUGGUAGUCCCAUGA